rnacentral:lncRNA from 1 species
GUUAGUGUCGCAAGUAUUGUGUCCGAGGUUGUCGAUUCGCCUCCACUUUCUCUAACAGAAGAUCUUACUGUUACUGAUACUUUAUGACUUGCAAUGAUAUGACUGACUCAUCAACCAGCGGUGGCAUCACACCAAAACAGAAGAGGAGUGGAGAGAGAGACAGGUACAAUACUUACACAAUCCAGCAGACAAGAGCAGAGAAGGUUCCGUUGAGCCAGGUGUCAAAGAAUCGCAAAAUGAAGCCGCAAAGAAGAUCACCCCAAAACAAAGACGGCAAACAGAGAAAAGACCGGUUUUUGACACGCACUAUCGGCGAUGGGACUUUAUAGACAAUAAAAAUGAGACCCCUCAUGUUAUCGCAAACUUGGAUAGUAAACUAUCCCCAAAACAAAGCGGUCCGCAAAUAAAGACAGGUACUUACGAGGGGACUCUCAGUCGAGACAACAGUUUGGGAGUGACACUUAAUACCUAUUGACAAUGAUAUCUUAGAUCCCGAUACAGUGACAAACAUCUCAGAUUAUGAAUCUGAGGAGGAACAAGUUGUCAAUGUGCCAAAACCGUCAAUGCGAAACCGGUUAAAUCAGAGGCAUGAAGAGCGCAGAGACAAAUAAGAGCACAGAGACCAAAAACAAUAAAAAAAGUGGUAUUCCCACUUUCAAGAACAAAACCACCCCCAAAAUACAAAACCACUGAGUCGCCAAGUAAACCUCCCUCAACUGGAAGUAGGGUUUCUCCAAAACCCCACCUGUAGACGCUGGGAGUAGGACUCAGAAAAUUCAGUCCUCGAGCCCGCGAGUAAGAUCGUAAAAAGUCAGGUGAAAAGGAAAUAACCACAACUAAUGCGGUUCCGACCGACAAAACUGUUACAACCAUUACAAAGACAGGGUACUUUUACAAAAGAUAAACCAGUGACGCCUGUUUCUGGUAUCCCUGUUUUGUCUCCGAAAACUGCUAGUGCCAAAAAAAAUACCAACGAAGAUUGCUUCUCUAGGUCUCAACGUGAAAUUGAGUGGUCCAUUUUAACCAAGUACAGUUGAGCGAGUUGAUCUUACUUUACCCUUAAAUUUCAUCUCAGUUUGUUUUAUUGUACACAUUUUUCAAGUCCUGAGGAAUAGAGUUUGGCUUGCUCAAACAAACCGAUCGUAGAUUUUUCAAGGACACCAGUCAUUUUUUUUUGUCACCAAUGAUCUUUAAUCCAGCCUGUAUGAGCACUAGUAAUCAGAUUUAGUCGGGUGCUCUUGUUUUUUGCUAACUGAUAAUUUCCUCCCUUGAAAGUGUCAACUUUCUCAACUUACUUCCUCAUCUUCUUCUUGGCAAUCUCUAUGAAUGUCCUGCAAAGCCAUCUGUCUAUAUCCUUCUUGAAUAUAUGUUUCAUGUUGUAGAAAAAAAAGGUACCAAUGUACUCGUAUCCUUAGUUAGCUGAGUGCUGAAGAUUCAAAUGCAAUAUAUAUUUAAUUAACGAAGUUAAUUAAUCAAGAUUUGCAUUUUUAUUUAAGUAAGUUAGGUAUUUUAGGUAUUCUUAAAAUAUAUCUAGUGUGUAGUUUUCAUAUCACUGAGAUUACCCAUGUAAACUGUUUCCUCUUUUAUCUGUCAAUUUCAUGUAGCAGAACAAUAUUUUGUGCUUCUGGGAAUGUGCUAUCAGUGGGGACUUUAUGAUGAUUGCAGUUAUUUUUCCCCCUUUUGGCAUGUACAUAAGAUUCUUAUGAAUAGAUAAAAAAAAUAUGUUCUUUUCAAUUGAUAAUCUCUCGGGUACGUACAACAACCAGAGAGGCAAAAUAUUUUCCGACUGAAUUCACUCUCUUCCUCCUCAUUCCAUUAUUAUAUGCCCUCUUUAUCACUUAUAUUUUAGUGCUAAGUAACCCUUUAAAAAGGUGUUGUGCCUGCAUUGUGAUGAAAUGUGCAAAAAGACUUCGUAGUUUAGGGUAAAUUUAGAACAAUCUUUGUAUGGCUGGAAUCAGGUUUUUAGUUUGUAGGUUUUGUUUUGUUUUCCUGCUUUUACGGUUACUUGAAGUCAGUGAAAAAUAUUGUACAUUUUUCACUCAAGGGUCUGGUAUGUCAACAGGUACUUGAUAUUUUAACUUAAUGUUUGUGAAUGAACUGUAUGUUCAAAACACGUGAAAACCUCACUGUCUGUAGUUAGUAGAUGAGCAUUUAGUCAGAUUUUUAAUACUUGUGUCUUUUAUGUAGAUUAUGUUGAUACAUUUCCUAUGUAACUUUAUUCCUUUUUUAGCAUUAUUUUAAAAAGUGUACAGAUAUUUUUCUAUGAGUGUAUUGUUUGAAACCAGCCAAGUUUAAUGGCUUUUUCCCUCCCGUUCUUAUUCUUCCUUCCUAACCAAUUGUAGAUAGAGUGUAUUUAAUUUGAUACCUUUCAUAUCCUGAUCUUGUCACCGAUGUUUGAAGGAACUCUACUCAAAGAUGUCAUAUUAUGGGUUUUCGUCAGCACGUAUUUAAAAUAUUUAGCAAGUAUUUUUCCGCAAUAUGAUAUCUUUUUUUAUUCAUCCAAAAUGAGCCUACACCAGGAACUACAUUUUUAACACUUAAAUAAACAACACCCGGAUUCAAACUCUUUGGUGUUCCUUUUCUUUCCGUUUAAAUGUUCAUCCAUGUAAAAGAAUCAAUGUAAGGAUGUAUUUUCUCCUUUUUAAACAUUUCUGUGUACUACUUUAAACUAUCUACUUUGGAAAUCAUUUUGUUUGCAAGAAUUGAGGAAUUGACCUCUAGGUUCAAAAUAUUUGCACAAGCACAAAUCGAUCAUGAUAGAGGUGACCUAAAAAUGUUUGUAGAUUUUUUUCUCUGCAUAUUUGAAGGGUUGAAUUGGUGGAUUGAUAAUCUUACUGGUAUGAGAAAUGUUCAAUUAAAAUUAUAAAAGAUGCAAUACUUGGCGUUGUCAUAUCGUCAACUCGCUAUCAUCGUUAAAAUUUGAUGCCAAGAAAAACUGGUGGAUGGAUGGGUAAAGUUGCAUAAACGACACCUGCCCUCCUUGGUCUGUUUUUAUGAAAGUGUUACUGCAGACCGUGUUUACAAUAAACAAUACCCUCCGUCAAAUGAACGUAUUUAUGCGAAAAGGAGAUAUGUGGAAGUGGAAAGAUGGGGUGUGCUCGUUAGUGGUCGGGCCAUAAGAAUGAAUGGGGAAUAUAAAAGCGCCAGUGAUGUCAGCGGCAAUGAAAAAGCAAAGGCGCGACGGGGGACCGGCGCGCCGUCGCUGUCGUCGAGCCAUGAGCCCUUUUUUUUUUUUUUUUUUUUUUUUUUUUUUUUUUUUUUUUUUUUUUGUCCUCCCAGCCGCCGUACUGACGGGAGGCGCUUAAACUUACAACAGUUCACACAGCCUACGGGUCACAGAGUAGCUUAUAAGGGAUGACGACCUG